CAGCCGCCGCGGUAAUACGUAGGUGGCAAGCGUUGUCCGGAAUUAUUGGGCAUAAAGGGCUCGCAGGCGGUUUCUUAAGUCUGAUGUGAAAGCCCCCGGCUCAACCGGGGAGGGUCAUUGGAAACUGGGAAACUUGAGUGCAGAAGAGGAGAGUGGAAUUCCACGUGUAGCGGUGAAAUGCGUAGAGAUGUGGAGGAACACCAACGGCGAAAGCACUCUGCUGGGCCGACACUGACACUGAGAGACGAAGGCUAGGUGAGCAAAUGGGAUUAGAUACCCCGGUAGUCCCUGUCUCUUAUAA
rnacentral:rRNA from 1 species